AUUGAACGCUGGCGGCAGGCCUAACACAUGCAAGUCGAACGAGUGGCGGACGGGUGAGUAAUGUCUGGGAAACUGCCUGAUGGAGGGGGAUAACUACUGGAAACGGUAGCUAAUACCGCAUACCAUCGGAUGUGCCCAGAUGGGAUUAGCUUGUUGGUGGGGUAACGGCUCACCAAGGCGCCGAUCCCUAGCUGGUCUGAGAGGAUGACCAGCAAACCUGGAACUGAGACAAGGUCCAGACUCCUACGGAAGGCAGCAGUGGGGAAUAGUGCACACGGGGCGCACGCCUGAUGCAGCCAUGCCGCGUGUAUGAAGAAGGCCCUAGGGUUGUAAAGUACUUUCAGUCGGGAGGCGUUACCGACAGAAGAAGCACCGGCUAACUCCGUGCCAGCAGCCGCGGUAAUAC
rnacentral:rRNA from 1 species